rnacentral:rRNA from 1 species
GACGGAGGAUGCAAGCGUUAUCCGGAAUGAUUGGGCGUAAAGCGUCCGCAGGUGGCAGUUCAAGUCUGCUGUCAAAGACCGGGGCUUAACUUCGGAAAGGCAGUGGAAACUGAACAGCUAGAGUAUGGUAGGGGCAGAGGGAAUUCCUGGUGUAGCGGUGAAAUGCGCAGAUAUCAGGAGGAACACCGAUGGCGAAGGCAGUGGGCUGGGCCGGCACUGACGCUGAGGAGCGAAAGCGUGGGGAGCGAACAGG